rnacentral:misc_RNA from 1 species
AACGCACAUUGCGCCCCUUGGUAUUCCGAGGGGCAUGCCUGUUCGAGCGUCAUUAUAACCACUCAAGCCUGGCUUGGUAUUGGGGUCCGCGGUCUUGCGGCCCUUAAAAUCAGUGGCGGUGCCGUCUGGCUCUAAGCGUAGUAAUUUUUCUCGCUACAGGGUCUGGUGGUUACUUGCCAUUAACCCCCCAUUUUCUAAGGUUGACCUCGGAUCAGGUAGGGAUACCCGCUGAACUUAA